rnacentral:rRNA from 1 species
UACGUAGGGGGCAAGCGUUGUCCGGAAUCAUUGGGCGUAAAAGAGCGUGUAGGCGGCUCGAUAAGUCCGCUGUGAAAGUCCAGGGCUCAACCCUGGAAGGCCGGUGGAAACUGUCGGGCUAGAGUCCGGAAGAGGCGAGUGGAAUUCCCCGGUGUAGCGGUGAAAUGCGCAGAUAUCGGGAGGAACACCAAUGGCGAAGGCAGCUCGCUGGGACGGUACUGACGCUGAGACGCGAAAGCGUGGGGAGCGAACAGG